CAGAGGGUGCGAGCGUUGUUCGGAAUUACUGGGCGUAAAGCGCGCGCAGGCGGGUCCUGUAAGUCGGAAGUGAAAUUUCGGAGCUCAACUCCGAAGCUGCUUCUGAUACUGCGGAUCUAGGGACUGGUAGAGGCUGGUAGAAUUACAGGUGUAGCGGUGGAAUGCGUAGAUAUCUGUAAGAAUACCCGUGGCGAAGGCGGCCAGCUGGGCCAGGUCCGACGCUGAGGCGCGAAAGCGUGGGGAGCAAACAGGAUUAGAUACCCUGGUAGUCCACGCCGUAAACGAUGGGCACUAGGUGCCGGGGGGAGCGACCCCUUCGGUGCCGCAGCUAACGCGAUAAGUGCCCCGCCUGGGGAGUACGGCCGCAAGGCUG
rnacentral:rRNA from 1 species